UACGGUCAUAUCACAUUGAAAAACCAGUUCUCAUACGAUCAUUAAAGUUAAGCAAUGUUGAGCCUGGUCAGUAUGUAGAUGGGUGAGCACUUAGAAAUGCCAAGUGCUGUAAG